rnacentral:rRNA from 1 species
CUACGGGAGGCUCCAGUGAGGAAUAUUGCACAAUGGGGGGAACCCUGAUGCAGCAACGCCGCGUGGAGGAUGACGCAUUUCGGUGUGUAAACUCCUUUUAUAUGUCAAGAAAAUGACGGUAGCAUAUGAAUAAGCACCGGCUAACUCCGUGCCAGCGGCCGCGGUAAUACGGAGGGUGCAAGCGUUACUCGGAAUCACUGGGCGUAAAGGACGCGUAGGCGGGUUGGAAAGUCAGGUGUGAAAUCCUACAGCUUAACUGUAGAACUGCACUUGAAACUUCUAAUAUAGAGUAUGGGAGGGGGAGAUGGAAUUAGUGGUGUAGGGGUAAAAUCCGUAGAUAUCACUAGGAAUACCUAAAGCGAAGGCGAUCUCCUGGAACAUUACUGACGCUAAGGCGUGAAAGCGUGGGGAGCAAACAGGAUUAGAUACCCUCGUAGUC